AUAAUAAUAAUAAUAAUAAUAAUAAUAUACAUAAAUGUAGUAUAAUCAAUAUGUCCAAUUAUAAAAAUUCAAGAAGUUAUAAUGAAAAAAAAAAAUUCUUGUUCAUGUCCUAAUAAUAAAACUGCAUGUUAUUUUAAAGAUAUAUAUAAAUCUGAUUAUUGGAAAAAAUCAUUUGCACAAUUAUGUAAAACAAAUCCUAAUGCAAGUGUUAUUACAGCUGAUUUUAUUUUAAUAAAUUGUAAUAUGACUAUAAGUGUUAAAAAACAAGAAACUUCUUUAAUAACAUAUUUUGCUAUGACUUAUAAUUGCCAAUCAAAUAUUUUUCAAUAUUUAUUUUGUUCAAAUACUGUAGAUAUAUCAGGUGAAACAUUUUUAUACAUACUUUUUACUUUUAUAUUUGGAUUUAUUUUAGCAUUAUUUGUUAUUUAUAAAAUUGUACAUCAAGGUAAAAUAUAUAAAGCCUUGUUUUUAGGAGUAAAGCCAACCAUAAAUAAAAUAAAUUCUAUGGCUUCGUAUGAAGAAAAUAUUAACCAUAUAGACUCUUUUAUAAAAACUUACGAUACCAUGGGUAAUGAAAUAUAUGAGAAAAACGAAAAUGGUAAUGGUGGAUUUUUUAACCGUAUGGUACGUUCAUAUAGAAAUGUUCAUAAUAAACUGGCUAAUAUAAAAGAUGAUGAUAUGUUAGUACAUUCUAAAAAGGAGAUAGUUGGUGAGAAGAAAAAAAAAUAUGGAUUAAAAGGAUUUAUCAAUAAUAUGUUUAAACGUGGUGAUAAGUCAAUACGAACAAUAGAACCUGAGGGGAGAAAUGAAAAUAACAAUACAUAUAAUGAAGAGAGGGUAAAUGGAGAGGGAGUAAAUGAAGAGAGGGUAAANNNNNNNNNNGAGAGGGAGUAAAUGAAGAGAGGGAGUAAAUGAAGAGAGGGAGUAAAUGAAGAGAGGGAGUAAAUGGAAAGGGAGUAAAUGAAGAGAGGGAGUAAAUGAAGACAAAAGUGAAACAAGUUAUGGCAUAUAAGCACAAAUACAAAUGACACUGUAAUUAACAUCAUAGUUCA
rnacentral:lncRNA from 1 species